ensembl:rRNA 5S_rRNA 5S ribosomal RNA
GCCUACGGCGGUACCACCCUGAGAACGCCCGAUCUCGUCUGAUCUCGGAAGCUAAGCAGGGUCGGGCCUGGUUAGUACUUGGAUGGGAGACCGCCUGGGAAUACCAGGUGCUGUAAGCU